GCACUACAGUACUUACUGGAGGCCCUCAGUACAGCACUACAGUACUUACUGGAGGCCCUCAGUACAGCAGUACGGUACUUACUGGAGGCCCUCAGUACAGCAGUACGGUACUUACUGGAGGCCCUCAGUACAGCAGUACAGUACUUACUGGAGGCCCUCAGUACAGCACUACAGUACUUACUGGAGGCCCUCAGUACAGCACUACAGUACUUACUGGAGGCCCUCAGUACAGCACUACAGUACUUACUGGAGGCCCUCAGUACAGCACUACGGUACUUACUGGAGGCCCUCAGUACAGCACUACAGUACUUACUGGAGGCCCUCAGUACAGCAGUACAGUACUUACUGGAGGCCCUCAGUACAGCACUACAGUACUUACUGGAGGCCCUCAGUACAGCAGUACGGUACUUACUGGAGGCCCUCAGUACUUUGCAAGUUUGGUUGAAGCUGUGAACGUGACAAAAAAUACUAUUUUCUUAGUUAUUUUGUUGAUGAUCGAUACUUUUGAAAAACAAAAACAAAUAAGAGCUUUACAAAGCCACUGCCUCAGUGCCAUUACCAUGCAGCAAUGACUUUAGCUUCAAUCUGCUCUAUCUAAAGAAUACGGAGCAAUAUUUACAAUGUUUACUUCCUCUUAACUAAGUGUCAUACUGUAUGAUACAGUGGCUGCAAUGCAUAACAUGCAAUGGUGAACAGGUUAUGGUGAGGUUACAAUGGUGAACAGGUUAUGGUGAGGUUACAGUAGUGAACAGGUUAUGGUGAGGUUACAGUAGUGAACAGGUUAUGGUGAGGUUACAGUAGUGAACAGGUUAUGGUGAGGUUACAGUAGUGAACAGGUUAUGGUGAGGUUACAGUAGUGAACAGGUUAUGGUGAGGUUACAGUAGUGAACAGGUUAUGGUGAGGUUACAGUAGUGAACAGGUUAUGGUGAGGUUACAGUGGUGUGAAC